CUGGAAUCAAACAACUAUUUUAACUUUCAGUUUUGUUAUUUACUAGCUGUGUGACCUCAGGCAAUUUACUUUGUUUUUCUGAACUUUAAUUUCUUAAUCUGCAGAAGAGCCAAUGGUGUAACUCUCAGUCCAAGGUCAAAAGCCGCAGCAUUUGGAGGGCUGUUGUGCAAGUCUUGAGGUCUGAAGGCUGAAGAAUCUGGAGAUCUGAUGUCCAAAAGCAGAAGAUGGGUGUCUCAGCUCCAGAAGAGACAGCAUGUCAAGUAAAAAUUGAGUGGGCUUCCUAUCUAUUUCACUUCGAGAAACACCAGGAUUAACUAGCCAACACCAUAGGUCUGCAUGAGUCAGAUUAUUCUGAUUGCUGCAUUGAAUCUGCUGUCCGAUUAUAUCCUACUAGAAAGCACAACUAUAUCUGCCUCACUCACCCCUGAAUUCCAGUAGGAAUUGGCUUGCAUGAUUAUGAAAGCCAGAAAGUUCCACAAUUUGCUGCCUGUAAUCUGGAGAACCAGAAAGGUUAAUGGUGUUACUCACUCUGAGUCCCAAGGCCCAGGAAACAGAAGCAAGGAUGUCUGAGGACAGAAGAAGAUGAAUAUCUCACUUCAAGCAGAAAAAGAAUGAAUUAACCCUUCCUCUACCAUUUUGUUCUAUUCAGGCCCUCAAUAGAUGGCCUCUGCAUUGUUGAGGGUGACUUUUUUACCCAGUCUACCAAUUCAAAUGCUCUUCUUUUCCAGAAACAUCCUUAUAGACACACCCAUAAAUAAUGUAUUACCAGCUUUCUGGGAAAAUCUUAGUCCAGUCAAGUUCACACAUAAAAUUAACCAUCACACAAACAUAUAAAGAAUACCUUUGUAAAGAAUAGAAGGCAUUACUAAACUUACCACUUUGACACUUAGAUUGAGAAUAUCUGUAUAUGCCUUUCUGUGUACUCAGAAGUAACUAUUAUAGUGAUCUUGGCAUUUUCAUUACCUUCUAUUGUUUCCUUACAGAUGUCUAAGGAAAUAAAUUAUUGUUUUGGCAUAUUUUUAAAAUGAUAUGAUAAUGAAUGUUAUACAUUCAUUAAAUUGCAUUUUUCUGUAUUCAUAUGCAACUUGCCUUUUGCAGUCAACAUUAUGUUAGGAAAUAAAAUCAUGUUGAUAUAUAUGUCUAUUCUGGAUGCUGUGGUACGCUGUUCAGAUUUCCUUUUCAGGA
rnacentral:lncRNA from 1 species